rfam:Spirochaetaceae bacterium 4572_7 ex4572_7_scaffold_1211, whole genome shotgun sequence.
GCCGAAGUGGUGAAAUUGGUAGACACAAGGGAUUUAAAAUCCCUCGGGCUUCGGCCUGUACCGGUUCAAGUCCGGUCUUCGGUA